rnacentral:rRNA from 1 species
CGUGUCGUGAGAUGUUGGGUUAAGUCCCGCAACGAGCGCAACCCUUGAUCUUAGUUGCCAGCAUUCAGUUGGGCACUCUAAGGUGACUGCCGGUGACAAACCGGAGGAAGGUGGGGAUGACGUCAAAUCAUCAUGCCCCUUAUGACCUGGGCUACACACGUGCUACAAUGGACGGUACAGAGGGCUGCAAACCCGCGAGGGGGAGCCAAUCCCACAAAACCGUUCCCAGUUCGGAUUGCAGGCUGCAACUCGCCUGCAUGAAGCCGGAAUCGCUAGUAAUCGCGGAUCAGCGUGCCGCGGUGAAUACGUUCCCGGGCCUU